ensembl:lncRNA
CCAGAUUGGGUCACGGAGUUGCCAGAUUUGGUCACAGAGUUGCCAGAUUUGUGAUCUCUUACCAAAGGCGUUGAGGGGGGAAAAAAACAGGAGAUUAAGAGCUCUAAAAUAAUUCAGACCGGACAACGUAAACUUUUAAAUUAUCUUUUUAAUUCCACAUACAUGAAAUAACAUUUCCCUCCAGAUAACAGUUAUGCUUGGGUGUUUCGUAUGAAAAUUUCCAAAAAAGACAUGGACAAAGACAACCAGCCCAACAGCAACCUCCCUUUUCUCCCCGUUAACUAGUUCUGAACCACAAGUAUCAAAAUAAAAACCUUAACUGGGGAAAGAAGGAGCAGCAACUAGAAGAAGCAACGAGGGGAAAUUCUUCCUGCUCUGCUGGUUUAAAACAGUCUGAGUAUUAGGAGUCCUCUUUGUUCUAGACUUUUCCCAAACCUCCUACUUGACACAGAAAUACAAAAUGGCGUUAGCAGGUCAAUGAAACUGAAGAAGAAGAAGAAGAAGCUGGAGCAGAACAGUGACAGUUUAAUGGAAUGUAACAUCACUAGCCAAGGUUUCCCUCUCAGCUGGAACCCUACUCCCUACAUAGUGCACUACUGGAACCCUACUCCCUACAUAGUGCACUACUGGAACCCUACUCCCUACAUAGUGCACUACUGGAACCCUACUCCCUACAUAGUGCACUACUGGAACCCUACUCCCUACAUAGUGCACUACUGGAACCCUACUCCCUACAUAGUGCACUACUGGAACCCUACUCCCUACAUAGUGCACUACUGGAACCCUACUCCCCACAUAGUGCACUACUGGAACCCUAUUCCCUACAUAGUGCACUACUGGAACCCUACUCCCUACAUAGUGUACGGGUGUUUGACCAAGGUCCAUAGGGUUCUGGUCUAAAAGUAGUAUACUUUAUAGGGAAUAGGGUGCCAUUUGAUACAGCACAACGACCACGCCAACCCACCAUCGAUAAGACGCCUCAGGACUAUCCCCUAAUGCUCCUGCCGUCAGUCGCCUGGCUACAGACUAAAACCGCUCGCUGCUGCCUCCUCCAAUCAAGAGAGACUGAUGUCGAACCACAAAUGAAUCAAGCAAUGUUGUCAAGCACAAGAUCUUUACCAUGUAGACAGGUAGAGGACUAGACCAGGUUAAUUCCCAACCUGAACACAGGUAGAGGACUAGACCAGGUAAAUUCCCAACCUGAACACAGGUAGAGGACUAGACCAGGUUAAUUCCCAACCUGAACACAGGUAGAGGACUAGACCAGGUAAAUUCCCAACCUGAACACAGGUAGAGGACUAGACCAGGUUAAUUCCCAACCUGAACACAGGUAGAGGACUAGACCAGGUUAAUUCCCAACCUGAACACAGGUAGAGGACUAGACCAGGUUAAUUCCCAACCUGAACACAGGUAGAGGACUACACCAGGUUAAUUCCCAACCUCAACACAGGUA